rnacentral:rRNA from 1 species
CACGUAGGGCGCGAGCGUUGUCCGGAAUUAUUGGGCGUAAAGAGCUCGUAGGCGGCCUGUUGCGUCCGCUGUGAAAGCCCGGGGCUUAACCCCGGGUCGGCAGUGGAUACGGGCAGGCUAGAGGUAGGUAGGGGAGAACGGAAUUCCCGGUGUAGCGGUGAAAUGCGCAGAUAUCGGGAGGAACACCGGUGGCGAAGGCGGUUCUCUGGGCCUGUACUGACGCUGAGGAGCGAAAGCGUGGGGAGCGAACAGG